ACGAACGUUAACGGUAGGCGUCUCGACG
rnacentral:sRNA from 1 species